rnacentral:rRNA from 1 species
AUGAACGCUAGCUACAGGCCUAACACAUGCAAGUCGAGGGGCAGCAUGAUUGAAGCUUGCUUCAAUUGAUGGCGACCGGCGCACGGGUGAGUAACACGUAUCCAACCUUCCGCUGACUCGGGGAUAGCCUUUCGAAAGAAAGAUUAAUACCCGAUAGCAAAGGAUUUCCGCAUGGAUAUUCUUUUAAAGGAUUCCGGUCAGCGAUGGGGAUGCGUUCCAUUAGAUAGUUGGCGGGGUAACGGCCCACCAAGUCGACGAUGGAUAGGGGUUCUGAGAGGAAGGUCCCCCACAUUGGAACUGAGACACGGUCCAAACUCCUACGGGAGGCAGCAGUGAGGAAUAUUGGUCAAUGGGCGAGAGCCUGAACCAGCCAAGUAGCGUGAAGGAAGACUGCCCUAUGGGUUGUAAACUUCUUUUAUACGGGAAUAAAGUCAUCCACGUGUGGAUGUUUGUAUGUACCGUAUGAAUAAGGAUCGGCUAACUCCGUGCCAGCAGCCGCGGUAAUACGGAGGAUCCGAGCGUUAUCCGGAUUUAUUGGGUUUAAAGGGAGCGUAGGCGGGCUUUUAAGUCAGUUGUGAAAGUUUGCGGCUCAACCGUAAAAUUGCAGUUGAUACUGGAAGCCUUGAGUACAGUAGAGGCAGGCGGAAUUCGUGGUGUAGCGGUGAAAUGCUUAGAUAUCACGAAGAACUCCGAUUGCGAAGGCAGCUUGCUGGACUGUAACUGACGCUGAUGCUCGAAAGUGUGGGUAUCAAACAGGAUUAGAUACCCUGGUAGUCCACGCGGUAAACGAUGGAUGCUCGCUGUUUGCGUCUGACGUAAGCGGCCAAGCGAAAGCGUUAAGCAUCCCACCUGGGGAGUACGCCGGCAACGGUGAAACUCAAAGGAAUUGACGGGGGCCCGCACAAGCGGAGGAACAUGUGGUUUAAUUCGAUGAUACGCGAGGAACCUUACCCGGGCUUGAACUGCAGCGGAAUGAUGUGGAAACAUGUCAGCGAGUAAUCGCCGCUGUGGAGGUGCUGCAUGGUUGUCGUCAGCUCGUGCCGUGAGGUGUCGGCUUAAGUGCCAUAACGAGCGCAACCCUUAUAUCCAGUUACCAUCAGGUUAUGCUGGGGACUCUGGAUAGACUGCCGUCGUAAGAUGUGAGGAAGGAGGGGAUGACGUCAAAUCAGCACGGCCCUUACGUCCGGGGCUACACACGUGUUACAAUGGGGGGUACAGCAGGCCGCUACCUGGCGACAGGAUGCCAAUCUCCAAAACCCCUCUCAGUUCGGACUGGAGUCUGCAACCCGACUCCACGAAGCUGGAUUCGCUAGUAAUCGCGCAUCAGCCACGGCGCGGUGAAUACGUUCCCGGGCCUUGUACACACCGCCCGUCAAGCCAUGAAAGCCGGGGGUACCUGAAGUGCGUAACCGCAAGGAGCGCCCUAGGGUAAAACCGGUGAUUGGGGCU